CUUUGACUGAGAGGUCAGCAGCUUGGGAAGGAAGAAAAAAAAGUUAAGAAAGGCUGUGUUAAGCAGUAUUAGCUCUUGGUUGCGUAGCACACUCAUCAGCUUAAUCCCCUGAAGUGUCGCAAGAAAAGAGCUUUUCCAGCAAGGAAAGGAACAGCAUGUACAAGCAAUUUCACAUUAUGUUCCUUCCUGAUGGAUCCAUGGUCUCAGCCUCUUAGGUCUGCUGCUGAUAUACAUCAAGCUUCUCAUCUGAUAUAUUAUAUCUACCACUGAAAUCCUGUCCAAAGGGGAUUUCUUGUGGAAGAAGGAAUAUGUCUCUAGGAGAUAUAAAGAAGCUGAGUUAUAAUUUAAAAGAUACUUUUCUAGAAUUCAGUCAGAAGAAUACUGGGGGAGAGAACACAGGACAAAUUUCCAGCCACUGAUCUUUGACAUCAACAGGUUUGCAACGUGUAUGAACGUUCAUCACUCAAGGAACAUGCUCCAAGCAGUGCUGUGUUUGGUGUAGCAGGAUUACUUUCAGAGAUGAAGAUCUGGAAACAGAAAGAGAAGCUGAAAUUGAGAACUACAAAAAUCUAUGCAACUUAAAUUUAGGAAGACCACCAUCUAGGACGUGUAGAUGUCUGUUUUACCAGGACAAAAGGAAUACUGCCUAUUCACAUUAUCUCCAAUAUAUUCAGAUUUCCUGUUUGCUUCCAGUCAUCCUCUAGCAUUGUGGAGGUAGGUUAAGAGGAUAUGCCUGAACCCUUCCUCUUGGGCAGUAAAUUAUUUUGAAAGUCCUAAAUAUCAACGGUGAGUAAAAGAACAUUAUUCUCAGCUAGUGGAGUAAAUCUCUGUAAUGUUCCCCUGCUAAUAAUUUUAUGGGACCUGCAUUUUGGGAGUGUUCCUUUGGCCUUUGAUUACCUGCAGAGACAACAGAUUGCACUUAAAAACUUAACUUACAACCCAGCAAGAGGAGAGCCAUACCACUCCUUGCAUUGACUUUUGCUUUGGAUUUUUAUGUUGAAAAUCACCAGGAUAAUUUUGCUAAGAGAGAAGUUGUUGUUGUUGGAAUCCUAGUGGCAGUCUGUAGGCUGACAUGACUGCAUUGGCAGGUAAUAGCAACAUUUGCGUUAUGUUUAUUGUUUUCAAAAAGAGGGAAACCUAAAUCAACUUCAGGAGGCAAAGGAGCUCUGGUCUACAGUAAAAUUUUUUUCUUCUUUGAUUACGAUGCAGACUAGUAUGCUCUUCACAACAAGGGAAAACAUUUUUCUAGGUUGUUAACUAACAUUAUGAACAUAUUUCCUUUUCCUGCAACGUGGGUUUUUAUUGCUGUUUCUCCCUCAUGCACAAACAAGACUGGGAAGGAAAAAAGAAUCCCAUCAUAAUAAAACAGAUUUAUUAAACUGGGGCUAUUUGCUU
rnacentral:lncRNA from 1 species